AGUUUGAUCCUGGCUCAGGAUGAACGCUGGCGGCGUGCUUAACACAUGCAAGUCGAACGGGGGCGUGAUGUGCGAGAGGGAUAGUUUACUAGACUUCAAACUUUUCACGCCCUAGUGGCGGACGGGUGAGUAACGCGUGGGUAACCUGCCAUAUACAGGGGGAUAACACUUAGAAAUAGGUGCUAAUACCGCAUAAGCGCACAGGGGCGCAUGCCCCGGUGUGAAAAACUCCGGUGGUAUAUGAUGGACCCGCGUCUGAUUAGCCAGUUGGCAGGGUAACGGCCUACCAAAGCGACGAUCAGUAGCCGGCCUGAGAGGGCGGACGGCCACAUUGGGACUGAGACACGGCCCAAACUCCUACGGGAGGCAGCAGGUGGGGGAUAUUGCACAAUGGGGGAAACCCUGAUGCAGCGACGCCGCGUGAGUGAAGAAGUAUUUCGGUAUGUAAAGCUCUAUCAGCAGGGAAGAAAAUGACAGUACCUGACCAAGAAGCCCCGGCUAACUACGUG
rnacentral:rRNA from 1 species